UACGUAGGGCGCGAGCGUUGUCCGGAAUUAUUGGGCGUAAAGAGCUCGUAGGCGCCUGUCGCGUCCGCUGUGAAAUCCCGGGGCUUAACCUCGGAACUGCGCCUGAAACUACUUGGCUAGAGUACUGGAGAGGUGAACGGAAUUCACGGUGUAGCAGUGAAAUGCGUAGAUAUCGUGAGGAACAUCAGAAGGCGGAAGGCGGUUACCUGGACAGUUACUGACGCUCAGGCACGGAAAGCGUGGGG
rnacentral:rRNA from 1 species